rnacentral:rRNA from 1 species
UACGGAGGGGCUAGCGUUGUUCGGAAUUACUGGGCGUAAAGCGCACGUAGGCGGCUUUGUAAGUUAGAGGUGAAAGCCCGGGGCUCAACUCCGGAAUUGCCUUUAAGACUGCAUCGCUAGAAUUGUGGAGAGGUAAGUGGAAUUCCGAGUGUAGAGGUGAAAUUCGUAGAUAUUCGGAAGAACACCAGUGGCGAAGGCGGCACUCUGGGACGGUACUGACGCUGAGACGCGAAAGCGUGGGAGCGAACGAGG